UACGUAGGGCGCAAGCGUUGUCCGGAAUUAUUGGGCGUAAAGAGCUCGUAGGCGGUCUGUCGCGUCUGUUGUGAAAACUCGAGGCUCAACCUCGGGCUUGCAGUGGAUACGGGCAGACUAGAGUGCGGUAGGGGAGACUGGAAUUCCUGGUGUAGCGGUGGAAUGCGCAGAUAUCAGGAGGAACACCGAUGGCGAAGGCAGGUCUCUGGGCCGCAACUGACGCUGAGGAGCGAAAGCCAGGGGAGCAAACGGG
rnacentral:rRNA from 1 species